AUUGAACGCUGGCGGCGUGCUUUACACAUGCAAGUCGAACGGUAACAGGUUAAGCUGACGAGUGGCGAACGGGUGAGUAAUGCAUCGGAACGUGCCCGAUCGUGGGGGAUAACGCAGCGAAAGCUGCGCUAAUACCGCAUACGAUCUGAGGAUGAAAGCGGGGGACCGUAAGGCCUCGCGCGAUCGGAGCGGCCGAUGUCAGAUUAGGUAGUUGGUGGGGUAAAGGCUCACCAAGCCGACGAUCUGUAGCUGGUCUGAGAGGACGACCAGCCACACUGGGACUGAGACACGGCCCAGAAUCCUACGGGAGGUAGCAGUGGGGAAUUUUGGACAAUGGGCGAAAGCCUGAUCCAGCAAUGCCGCGUGCAGGAAGAAGGCCUUCGGGUUGUAAAAACUUGUAGGUCGGUUGUAAAAUUCUUUCACUGAUGAUGAUUAUGACGUUAAUCAGAGAAGAAGCCCCGGCUAACUUCGUGCCAGCCGCCGCCGUAAGAC
rnacentral:rRNA from 1 species